AGGGGCAUCACGGGAAAGCUUGCUUUUCUGGUGGCGACCGGCGCACGGGUGCGGAACGCGUAUGGAACCUGCCCCUGUCAGGGGAAUAGCCCAGGGAAACUUGGAUUAAUGCCCCAUGGUAUCCGGGAAUCGCAUGAUUUCCGGAUUAAAGAUUUAUCGGACAGGGAUGGCCAUGCGUACCAUUAGCUAGUUGGUAAGGUAACGGCUUACCAAGGCAACGAUGGUUAGGGGCCCUGAGAGGGGGAUCCCCCACACUGGUACUGAGACACGGACCAGACUCCUACGGGAGGCAGCAGUGAGGAAUAUUGGACAAUGGGCGGGAGCCUGAUCCAGCCAUGCCGCGUGCAGGAUGACUGCCCUAUGGGUUGUAAACUGCUUUUAUACGGGAAGAAACCUCCCCUCGUGAGGGGAUUUGACGGUACCGUAAGAAUAAGGACCGGCUAACUCCGUGCCAGCAGCCGCGGUAAUACGGAGGGUCCGAGCGUUAUCCGGAAUCAUUGGGUUUAAAGGGUCCGUAGGCGGGCCCGUAAGUCAGGGGUGAAAGUUUGUGGCUCAACCAUAAAAUUGCCUUUGAUACUGCGGGUCUUGAGUCAUGGUGGGGUUGCCGGAACAUGUGGUGUAGCGGUGAAAUGCAUAGAUAUCACAUAGAACACCGAUCGCGAAGGCAGGUGACCAACCAUGUACUGACGCUGAUGGACGAAAGCGUGGGUAGCGAACGGGAUUAGAUACCCCGGUAGUCCACGCCGUAAACGAUGGAUACUAGCUGUGGGGACCUCGGUCUCCGUGGCCAAGCGAAAGUG
rnacentral:rRNA from 1 species